GCCGACGUAGCCCAACGGUCGAGGCGCUGUCUUCAGGAGGCAGUCCGCGCAAGCGGGUGCGGGUUCGAGUCCCGCCGUCGGCA
rnacentral:tRNA from 1 species